AUUGAACGCUGGCGGCAGGCCUAACACAUGCAAGUCGAACGAGUGGCGGACGGGUGAGUAAUGUCUGGGAAACUGCCUGAUGGAGGGGGAUAACUACUGGAAACGGUAGCUAAUACCGCAUACCAUCGGAUGUGCCCCGAGGGGCUUGGCUAGUAGGUGGGGUAAAGGCUCACCUAGGCGACGAUCCCUAGCUGGUCUGAGAGGAGGACCGGCCACACGGAAACUGAGAAACGGUCCAGACUCCUACGGGAGGAAGCAGUGGGGAAUAUGGGACAAUGGGCUCAAGCCUGAUGCAGCCAUGCCGCGUGUAUGAAGAAGGCCUUCGGGUUGUAAAGUACUUUCAGCGGGGAGGCGUUACCCGCAGAAGAAGCACCGGCUAACUCCGUGCCAGCCGCCGCGGUAAUAC
rnacentral:rRNA from 1 species